rnacentral:sRNA from 1 species
AUUGCUCCUUCCUCGAG